GUGGGUGGGGAGAACCGUUACAUAUUUUCUGUGUCUGACGAAUGCUCAGGCUGCUCGGCGUCCGUCCUUCUCCUCUCUCUGGUCAGUGGCAAAGGCUCCUAACGAGUAGACGGUCUUGAGGAUUGAAGCCAGGGUGUAGAGUAUUUUGACGGCAGGGAUUUCCCGUGCGACGGUGCAGCCGGGGAUCCUGGAUGGGCAGGGGCUCUUGACCAUGUCUGCGGCUGAGGAGGAGGGGAGGCAUCUUCCCCGUCCUUCAGCUGGUUUCGAGACUAAUAAAUUCCCGCUGUGAUGUUUAAGCAACUCCUGAAGGAUGCAGACACAGGCAUUGAGUGCUGUCUUGCUAACGAGGAGACUUCUCAAAAGCCUGCGGAGGAGACGUAGGAUCUACAAGCAAUUUCUGGCAGCUGGAGUUUCCCGAUAGCAGGUGAUGCUACGAACGUGGUUGUGUUUGGCUGUAAAAUUUUUGAGUCUUCUGACUCUUGGUUGAAUGUUUGCAAUGUUUAGGCUCAAGCUGAUAAAUUCAUAUAUAUUUGGGGGUUUUGUUUGUUUUUUA
rnacentral:lncRNA from 1 species